rnacentral:rRNA from 1 species
UUGGGAUCCGAUUUAGCCAUGCUAGUCGCACGAGUUCAGACUCGUGGCGAAUAGCUCAGUAACACGUGGGCCAAACUACCCUUUCGGAACACAAUACCCUCGGGAAACUGAGGCUAAUAGUGUAUACCAUACCACCACUGGAAUGAGUGGUAUGCCAAACGCUCCGGCGCCGAAGGAUGUGGCUGCGGCCGAUUAGGUAGACGGUGGGGUAAUGGCCCACCGUGCCAAUAAUCGGUAUGGGUCAUGAGAGUGAGAACCCAGAGACGGAAUCUGAGACAAGAUUCCGGGCCCUACGGGGCGCAGCAGGCGCGAAACCUUUACACUGCACGACAGUGCGAUAGGGGGAUCCCAAGUGCACAGGCAUAGCGCCUGUGCUUUUCGGUACCGUAAGGUGGUACCAGAAUAAGGGCUGGGCAAGACCGGUGCCAGCCGCCGCGGUAAUACCGGCAGCCCAAGUGAUGGCCGAUCUUAUUGGGCCUAAAGCGUCCGUAGCUGGCCGCGCAAGUCCAUCGGGAAAUCCACCUGCUCAACAGGUGGGCGCCCGGUAGAAACUGCGUGGCUUGGGACCGGAAGGCGCGACGGGUACGUCCGGGGUAGGAGUGAAAUCCCGUAAUCCUGGACGGACCGCCGAUGGCGAAAGCACGUCGCGAGGACGGAUCCGACAGUGAGGGACGAAAGCCAGGGUCUCGAACCGGAUUAGAUACCCGGGUAGUCCUGGCCGUAAACAAUGUCUGCUAGGUGUGGCUCCCACUACGAGUGGGUGCUGUGCCGUAGGGAAGCCGCUAAGCAGACCGCCUGGGAAGUACGUCCGCAAAGGAUGAAACUUAAAGGAAUUGGCGGGGGGAGCACUACAACCGG